GACAGCGUAGCCGCGGUAAUACAGAGGGUGCGAGCGUUAAUCGGAUUUACUGGGCGUAAAGCGUGCGUAGGCGGCUAAUUGAGUCGGAUGUGAAAUCCCCGAGCUUAACUUGGGAAUUGCAUUCGAUACUGGUUAGCUAGAGUGUGGGAGAGGAUGGUAGAAUUCCAGGUGUAGCGGUGAAAUGCGUAGAGAUCUGGAGGAAUACCGAUGGCGAAGGCAGCCAUCUGGCCUAACACUGACGCUGAGGUACGAAAGCAUGGGGAGCAAACAGGAUUAGAUACCCGCGUAGUCCCUGUCUCUUAUACC
rnacentral:rRNA from 1 species